GGGGCCCUUGCAGGGCGGAGUGCUGCUGGGCGGCUGUGAAGGUCACGCCCCCUCCCUCUCCGCCCUCACGGCUCAGAAGUGAGAGAGGGCCUCAAGUUCUGUUCUGUGCAGCCGUUCUGGAAGCGAGGCUCCGCCUGUGUGAGUUCAGUGAAUUCCAGCUUCAAAAGGCGAGAUCUCGGUGGGGGAUAGCUCUGAAGCUGGGUCACCAUUUUCAGCUGGAAGGACCUAAAAUGUGCUUUUAAGAUGUGGCCAUAUCGCGCUAUUUUUGUCCAAACAGUUAAAUUCAACAAGUAUUUAUUAUUUACUUUCUCUCAGCGUUGGACAGAAGGGUGAGGGAGUUUUUUCGCUGAAGGUUUUUUCCUGUUCUUGAGCCUUGGGACUAUUCUUAAUGAAUGGCUGUAUCUGGUGAGGCUGAUAAAAUGACCCAUUUUAUAUCAAGAGGGAACCCUACUUUGAAUAUUGUUCUGGCUGGAUGGCAUCACUAACUCGAUGGGCAUGAGUUUGAGUGGACUCCAGGAGCUGGUGAUGGACAGGGAGUCCU